rnacentral:rRNA from 1 species
UGGGGAAUAUUGCGCAAUGGGGGAAACCCUGACGCAGCAACGCCGCGUGAAGGAAGAAGGCUUUCGGGUUGUAAACUUCUAUCGACGGGGAAGAAAAAAAUGACGGUACCCGAGUAAGAAGCACCGGCUAAAUACGUGCCAGCAGCCGCGGUAAUACGUAUGGUGCAAGCGUUAUCCGGAAUUACUGGGCGUAAAGGGUGAGUAGGCGGCUUGUUAAGUCAUAUGUGAAAAUCCGGGGCUCAACCCCGGACUUGCAUAAGAAACUGGCAGGCUUGGAGUGCAGGAGAGGUAAGCGGAAUUCCUAGUGUAGCGGUGAAAUGCGUAGAUAUUAGGAAGAACACCAGUGGCGAAGGCGGCUUACUGGACUGUAACUGACGCUGAGUCACGAAAGCGUGGGGAGCGAACA